rnacentral:rRNA from 1 species
UACGUAGGUGACCAGCGUUGUCCGGAUUUACUGGGCGUAAAGAGCGCGCAGGCGGUCGUUCAAGUCGAGUGUGAAAGCCCCCGGCUCAACUGGGGAGGGUCACUCGAUACUGAUCGACUUGAAGGCAGGAGAGGGAAGCGGAAUUCCCGGUGUAGUGGUGAAAUGCGUAGAUAUCGGGAGGAACACCAGUGGCGAAGGCGGCAUCCUGGCCCUGUACUGACGCUGAGGCGCGAUAGCGUGGGGAGCAAACGGG